rnacentral:rRNA from 1 species
UAGAGUUUGAUCCUGGCUCAGGACGAACGCUGGCGGCGUGCCUAACACAUGCAAGUCGAGCGAUGAAGUUCCUUCGGGAAUGGAUUAGCGGCGGACGGGUGAGUAACACGUGGGCAACCUGCCUCAAAGUGGGGGAUAGCCUCCCGAAAGGGAGAUUAAUACCGCAUAACAUUAUCUCUUUGCAUGAAGAGAUAAUCAAAGGAGUAAUCCGCUUUGAGAUGGGCCCGCGGCGCAUUAGCUAGUUGGUGAGGUAACGGCUCACCAAGGCGACGAUGCGUAGCCGACCUGAGAGGGUGAUCGGCCACAUUGGAACUGAGAUACGGUCCAGACUCCUACGGGAGGCAGCAGUGGGGAAUAUUGCGCAAUGGGGGAAACCCUGACGCAGCAACGCCGCGUGAGUGAUGAAGGUCUUCGGAUUGUAAAACUCUGUCUUUGGGGACGAUAAUGACGGUACCCAAGGAGGAAGCCACGGCUAACUACGUGCCAGCAGCCGCGGUAAUACGUAGGUGGCAAGCGUUGUCCGGAUUUACUGGGCGUAAAGAGUAUGUAGGCGGACAUUUAAGUCAGAUGUGAAAUCCCCGGGCUUAACCUGGGAGCUGCAUUUGAUACUGGGUGUCUAGAGUGUAGGAGAGGAAAGUGGAAUUCCUAGUGUAGCGGUGAAAUGCGUAGAGAUUAGGAAGAACACCAGUGGCGAAGGCGACUUUCUGGACUAUAACUGACGCUGAGAUACGAAAGCGUGGGGAGCAAACANGAUUAGAUACCCUGGUAGNNNACGCCGUANACGAUGAAUACU